rnacentral:lncRNA from 1 species
UAACACACAAUUAAACAAUAUAAUCCAAAGUUCGACCGCAAGGUAAAUAAAGUCUGACAAAAAAUUGUUUCCAACAGGAAUCAAACCAAAAUGAAUAGAUUUUGUCAUGUAAAAUGUAAACAUAAAACAUAUAAUAUGACUCAACAUCAAUCAUACUUAAUUAAAUAACAUAAAACAUUUAUAUUCAUAAGGUCAAGAUGUUGAAAACUAGGUUGAAAAUACAACAAUGCAUACAUUUAAGAUAGGUAAAAAAAUGUAAAACAAAUAUUGCUUUAAUUCUUAGCAAACA